CCCGCUGAACUUAAGCAUAUCAAUAAGCGGAGGAAAAGAAACUAACAAGGAUUCCCCUAGUAACUGCGAGUGAAGCGGGAAAAGCUCAAAUUUAAAAUCUGUCAGUCUUUGGCUGUCCGAGUUGUAAUCUAGAGAAGUGUUAUCCGCGCUGGACCGUGUACAAGUCUCCUGGAAUGGAGCGUCAUAGAGGGUGAGAAUCCCGUCUUUGACACGGACUGCCAGGGCUUUUGUGAUGCGCUCUCAAAGAGUCGAGUUGUUUGGGAAUGCAGCUCAAAAUGGGUGGUAAAUUCCAUCUAAAGCUAAAUAUUGGCGAGAGACCGAUAGCGAACAAGUACCGUGAGGGAAAGAUGAAAAGAACUUUGGAAAGAGAGUUAAACAGUACGUGAAAUUGCUGAAAGGGAAACGCUUGAAGUCAGUCGCGUCAUCCAGGGAUCAACCUUGCUUUUGCUUGGUGUACUUUCUGGUUGACGGGUCAGCAUCAAUUUUGACCAUUGGAAAAAGAUUAGGGAAUGUGGCAUCCUCGGAUGUGUUAUAACCCUUGUUCAUAUACAGUGGUUGGGAUUGAGGAACUCAGUGCUUGCACUCAGGAUGCUGACAUAAUGGCUUUAAUCGACCCGUCUUGAAACACGG
rnacentral:rRNA from 1 species